rnacentral:rRNA from 1 species
AGGAUAAACGCUGGCGGCGUGCCUAACACAUGCAAGUCGAACGCGCUUUCGGGCUUCGGUGCGAGAGCGAGUGGCGGACGGGUGAGUAACACAUGGGUACCUACCUUGGAGUGAGGGAUACCGGCGAGAAAUCGCCGACAAUACCGCAUAGGCUUCUUCACAAGGGAAGCAAAGUGACGCGAGUCACGCUUUGAGAUGGGCCUGUGGCCGAUUAGCUAGUUGGGGGGGUAACGGCUUCCCAAGGCGACGAUCGGUAGCUGGUCUGAGAGGACGAUCAGCCACACUGGGAUUGAGAACGGCCCAGACUCCUACGGGGGGCAGCAGUGAGGAAUUUUCGUCAAUGGGGGCAACCCUGAACGAGCAACGCCGCGUGCAGGAAGAAGGUUUUCGGAUCGUAAACUGCUUUUCGCGGGGAAGAGGAACGGACGGUACCCGAGGAAUCGAGCCCCGGCUAACUACGUGCCAGCAGCCGC